GGGGUUGUGGCUCAGUGGUAGAGCACUUGCCUAAUAUGUGUGAAGCCUGGGUUCAAUUCUCAGCACCG
rnacentral:tRNA from 1 species